ACGAACGCUGGCGGCGUGCUUAACACAUGCAAGUCGAACGUGAUUUUUGUGGAAAUUCUUUCGGGAAUGGAAAUGAAAUGAAAGUGGCGAACGGGUGAGUAACACGUGAGCAACCUACCUUACACAGGGGGAUAGCCGUUGGAAACGACGAUUAAUACCGCAUGAGACCACAGAAUCGCAUGAUAUAGGGGUCAAAGAUUUAUCGGUGUAAGAAGGGCUCGCGUCUGAUUAGCUAGUUGGAAGGGUAAAGGCCUACCAAGGCGACGAUCAGUAGCCGGUUUGGGGGGAUGAACGGCACAAUUGGAACGGGGAACAGGCCCAAACUCCGAGGGGGGGCAGCAGGGGGGAAAAUUGAAAAAGGGGGGGAACCCUGAGGCAGCGAGGCCGGGGGGGCAAAAAAGGUUUUCGAAUCGAAAAGCUCUUUCCAAGGAGAAAAUAAGGACGGUAUCAAAGGAGGAAGCCCCGGCAAAAUACGG
rnacentral:rRNA from 1 species